rnacentral:lncRNA from 1 species
UGAGUUUUCUAGCUAAAAUGCUUCAUGGUCACCAUUGUUUAGGUGUUACUGACACCUGCUGAGAGAUCUGAAACUAGCCAUUACCAUUCAAAGCAUAGAACUCUGAAUUUUAAUGAGACUUGUUUUGAAAUCAGUCAAGUUUUGCUUAUGUUAGGAAAUCACUUAGCAUGAGCUCUUGAAUCAACCCUGUUUUGGUUUUUUUAGCAAGUGGUCCAGAGGGGAGCUCAUUGGGAAAUUUCACACCUCCUAAUCAUCCUCAUCAGAUGCUAAUAAUGAAGCAAGGAAAUUCCCCAGAGACAGCCACAGCAUCCAGGAUCAGGGCUGAGCUGAGACAGGAGGAAAAUGCUGGAUGAGAUACAUGGGGGAGGAAAGCCAAGACAGCCACAGAGCACAGCGGGAACACGACUGGCACAACACAACAGCAACCUCAGAGCCUGAAAUGACAGCAACUAAAGAGACCUAAGAAAAGCAACAAGCCAUGGCAGCAGGUGGGGCCAGCCGCUCUCUCCCUUUCUUAACUACCCAGGCUAAAACUUCCAAAAGAAAAGAAAAAAAACAAACACAAGGAAGCAUCAGUCUAAAAAACUAUAAAUCAACCCUUAAAUUACUCAGGGGUUGACCAGGUAUCUCCAUUUGGUCCAACUCUCUAUUCAGGAAACAUUUUUUUUUUUUUAAUCAGAUUAGGGAAAAGAUUGAAAAUAAAGAGAAGAUGAGUUCUGGAGAUUUGCUAUAGAUUUUAAUUGUCCAUAAAAACCCUCUCUCUCAAGCUCACAGAUCCUGAUGGUUGGUCACACUGAACAAGAAUUCUGAAGUAUAAUCUAGCUUCUUAUAGCUCUCCUUUUAUUUGCAAAUGAAGAUAAAAAAGGUAAAAGGUAUGAGUUCUAUUUCUUGUCUCUCUUUUAAUACUGUCUAAAAUGUUAGAACUCUGACAAAGAACGCUGGAAGCUGAAGUGGAAGCCCUGUAGCUGAUCAGCCUGCAUGCCGCUCUCUCGGCUUUUCCGUGGGGAAGUAGCUGAAGCCAGGCAGCAUGCAAAGUGUGAGGAAGCGGAGCUGUGCGCGGCGGGGCCGAGCCACAGCACUACACCCUCCACACCCAUCUUUCUAAAGCCAAGGCAGAAGCAGGAAGUCCAGAAUGGCCUGUCAAAGCAGCUGCCCAUUACACUCUCACAGCAGUGGAAACAAGGCCUGAGGGUCCUGGGGCCCUGAGCCGUGCUCCUUGCUGUGGACAGUUACCUGAUGCUGUGGUGUCAGAGAGGGUUCCUGCGUCCAGAGAGGAAGAGCUGGGUGCCUGGCCGGACAGUCCCAGGCUCUGCAGGCCCAGGGCACUGCUGCUGCUGCCUGGGAAACAAGUGGAGAGUGAGCACAACAUCCCCUCCAGGUCCCAUCCACAGCGCUGCUUUGGCCACCUGCUGCCCUCAAGAGUCUCCAAACACCAGCAUGUGACCCCCUCUGGCCUAGAGGAAGUUAGCUAGCAGCCACUGCUGUCCACCCACCAAGUUCAGUUACAGAGAUGGUGGAAUGCUUCCUUCAGCUCAGGCAGGACACAGGCUGGAGGAAUCUAAGAUUCAAGAGGAAAUAACCCAAACUGGCAGAAACUAUGAGAUUGGCACUCAGACUGAAAUUCCCACCACAUCCCUCUCACUCUCCACCUGUAUCUCUGAACAGCUCUCACCCAGAUCAACCUCUCCCCAUAUCUGGGGACAAACUAAGUCAGCUGGAUAUCAGUAACUGCCAAACCCUCUUUUCCUGUGCAAGGCCAAUGGGCCGCUUUGUUCUUGGCAUGGCCUUCUACCUUGUUGGUCCUGCUGCAGGCUCAGGGCAAUGGCUAGUUCAACCAUGGUCUCGUCAUCUGCAUCAGGUGGGAUGUCCAGCAUGGGGGGGAAGCCCUCUGCGCCUGCCAGCAGGGCCUCCAGGGGAGAGGGGUUGCCAUUGUUGACAUUUUCAGCUGUCUCCAGGACCAUCGACUCAGACUGCAGAGAGAAAGCUCUGUCAGUGUCCCAUGGUAAGUGGUAACUUUUGGAAGUCCACUGAAUAAGAGCUAGAGGAGAGUUGUGAAGCUCCUCCUCCCCUUCUCCUGCUGCCAGAGACUCACCACCAUCUCAAAAUCUCCAUGGUCCACCUCACUCUGUUCCUGGCUUUCCUGACGGAUGUGACCACCAUUCGGGAUCCCUGAUGACUGCAUUUUCUCAUCUGCAUCAUCAUCGUCAUCAUCAUCCUUGUCUCCUGAGUCAAAGAAACCCCAGUCACCUGAAGGUGCUUGCUUUCCUCCCUUGGCACAUGGUGCCAUAAGUCAGGUGGCAACAAAAACCCAAGACAAGCUACCAGCUAGCACCCUGGGCUUUAGCGGGAGAACUCCGGGGUGCUAUGCCUGGCCUUGUUCUCUUACUUCUUGGACCUACAGCAUCUGGGAAGAUGGAGUUGGCUGCGACAGCUUGCCCCCCACAAAAAUAAAAUGUUCCAGCUGGUGAAGGAAACAAACUUGGAUUCCAAAGGGAUUUCCAUAAAGGUCAGUGAGAUUUUCACACUACGUAAUUACUAUGAGAAGAACCAGAAUUGAAGUGUAAAACCAUUGACUGGAAACCAAGGACACCACUGCAGGUCCUGCCUGUGCCCACUUUUGUGUGAAGGUGAGAAGGCCUUCUAAUAAGGAAGAUGUCCAGGUGAGACUCCUAAUUGUCAGAAGAGGAUAGAGACCUCACCUUCCACUCGAUGGAUUGCUAAAGCUUGUAAAUAUGUCCGUUAGAAACAUAAACUAUCUCCACUCUAGGUUCUUGCUAGGGAAAAGAGCCACAAACUGCUGCCUAACCCAAAAGCUUAGGCAAGAUAAAUGAUAUGCAAGGAAGAUUUUCUGAAAGUCACAAAGUUGUGUACAAUCCUCUAGAUGUGCACUGUCCACCAGCCACAUGUGACUACUGAGCACUUAAAACAUGGCUGUCUAAAAGGAGAUGUGCCACUAGUGUAAAAUACAUUCUGGAUUCCCAAAAUGGUACCAAAACAGGCAAAAUAUUUCACUAAUAAAUUUUUUAUAUUGACAAGAUGUAGAUAUAAUAUUUGAUAUACUGGAUUAAAUAAUUAGUAAAUCAAUUUUACUUUUUACUCUUUAUAAUAUUGCUAUUAGAAAAUUUAAAAGUACAGGCCGAGCAGUGGCUCGCGCCUAUAAUCCUAGCACUUUGGGAGGCCGAGGCGGGCGGAUCAUUUGAGGUCAGGAGUUCGAGACCAGCUUGGCCAACAUGGUGAAACCCUGUCUCUACUAAAAAUACAAAAAUUAGCUGGGCACGGUGGCACGCGCCUAUAAUCCCAGCUACUAGGGAGGCAGAGAUUGCAGUGAGCUGAGAUGGCACCAUUGCACUCUAGCCUUGGUGACACAGUGAGACUCUGAAAAAAGACGAGAGAGAGAGAGAAAGAAAGAAAGAGAAAAGAAAAAAAGAAAAGAAAAGAAAGAAGGAAGGGAAAGGAAAGGAAGGAAGGAAGAAAAAAGAAAGAAAGGAAGGAAGGAAGGAAGGAAAGAAAGGAAGGAAGGAAGGAAGGCAGGAAGGAAGGAAGGAAGGAAGGAAGAAAGAAAGAAAGAAAGAAAGAAAGAAAGAAAGAAAGAAAGAAAGAAAGAAAGAAAGAAAAUUUAAAAGUACAUAGUGACUUUCAUUUGAAAUUUACUUCUAAAUCAAGCCAAGUAACCAGAAUUAUAUAAUUCUGUUAUUCAGACACCUUUUAGAAUUGCUUUUACUGAAUCGUAAAAUGUUAUGCCCUUGACUGUAUUGUGUAUUGUGUAUUGUGUACUGUGUAUUGUGAGGGAAAUUCCUGUGAAAUUUGCUAUCCAACUUAUUGUAGGUAAGUCCACUAAGGAUUCUGCCCCUUUGGCAACAAAAUGGACAUUUAAUGAAGAGCUUCUAUCCCAAGAAAAGUUAUGUUUCUGUUUUGUCUUUGGUCACUGUGAUUUUAUUUUUGCUAUGGCUCUUAGGAAGCUUUCAGCCAAAUAUAAGACCCUCGCUUACCAACCAUGCAGGACCUUUGUGAUGUGAAUUUUCUGUAUUUUGAUUUUACUAUGGUACUUUUAUUUUCCCAUGGCCUUUAAUCUUUAUUUUUAUCCUACUUACUAUAUACAUUUUGAUGUGCCACCUAAAUUCUUUAUGGGGUGAGGUAGGAUUAGAAAAAAGACAGAUACAUAAAGUCUCCAGGACCUUGGUCAACAUGAGCAGCAUGCCCAAUGCUACUGUACCUCCCUCUCUCCCCUCCUCCCAAAUACAGGCUUGAGCCUAAACCCAGACCUCAUAUUACCCAUUGGAGUGUUGCU